GACGAACGCUGGCGGCGUGCUUAACACAUGCAAGUCGAACGGAAAGGCCCUGCUUUUGUGGGGUGCUCGAGUGGCGAACGGGUGAGUAACACGUGAGUAACCUGCCCUUGACUUUGGGAUAACUUCAGGAAACUGGGGCUAAUACCGGAUAGGAGCUCCUGCUGCAUGGUGGGGGUUGGAAAGUUUCGGCGGUUGGGGAUGGACUCGCGGCUUAUCAGCUUGUUGGUGGGGUAGUGGCUUACCAAGGCUUUGACGGGUAGCCGGCCUGAGAGGGUGACCGGCGCGAGGGGGACGGGGGUGCGGAGCGCGGAGCCGAGGGAGGCAGGGGGGGGGAAGGUGGAACGGGGGGGGGGAGCUGGAGGCGGCGGCGCCGCGUGGGGGUGGACGGCCUGGGGGUUGUUAUCCGCUGGCGCCUGCGAGGAGGCGGGGGUGACGGAAAUGGUAAAAGAAGGACCGGCUAACUCCGUGCAAGCAGCCGCGGUAAGAGGCGGAGUAGCACACGUCUGAAC
rnacentral:rRNA from 1 species